rnacentral:tRNA from 1 species
CAAACCAAUCAUUCCCGUAAAGGAUUUUCUCUUUAUUUUACUUUCUUUCGAAUUACUUAUUUUGUUUUUCUUU